rnacentral:tRNA from 1 species
CUCUAAAAAGUAUUUGUGUACAUUUGCCUUCCAAGCAAAAAGGCUAGCAUGUGUUAGUUUAGAGA